rnacentral:rRNA from 1 species
UACGUAGGGGCCUAGCGUUGUCCGGAAUCAUUGGGCGUAAAGCGCGUGUAGGCGGCUUGGUAAGUCCGCUCUGAAAGCCCGGGGCUCAACCCCGGGAGGCGGGUGGAUACUGUCAAGCUCGAGUCCGGAAGAGGCGAGUGGAAUUCCUGGUGUAGCGGUGAAAUGCGCAGAUAUCAGGAGGAACACCAAUGGCGAAGGCAGCUCGCUGGGACGUGACUGACGCUGAGACGCGAAAGCGUGGGGAGCAAACAGG